rnacentral:rRNA from 1 species
UGGGGAAUAUUGCACAAUGGAGGGAACUCUGAUGCAGCGACGCCGCGUGAGUGAUGAAGGAAUUCGUUUCGUAAAACUCUGUUCUAUGGGAAGAAAAGGACUGUACCAUAGGAGAAAGCUCCGGCUAAAUACGUGCCAGCAGCCGCGGUAAUACGUAUGGAGCGAGCGUUGUCCGGAAUUAUUGGGCGUAAAGGGUGCGCAGGCGGCUUUACAAGUUGGAUGUGAAAUAUUGUGGCUCAACCACAAACGUGCAUCCAAAACUGCAAAGCUUGAGUUAAGGAGAGGUAAGUGGAAUUCCUGGUGUAGCGGUGGGAUGCGUAGAUAUCAGGAGGAAUACCGGUGGCGAAGGCGACUUACUGGACUUAAACUGACGCUCAGGCACGAAAGCGUGGGGAGCAAACAGG